CGGGCUAUAGCGCAGUUGGUAGCGCGCGUCGUUCGGGACGACGAGGCCGUGGGUUCAAGUCCCACUAGCCCGACCA
rnacentral:tRNA from 1 species